rnacentral:rRNA from 1 species
CCUGGCUCAGGAUGAACGCUAGCUACAGGCUUAACACAUGCAAGUCGAGGGGCAGCAUUUCAGUUUGCUUGCAAACUGGAGAUGGCGACCGGCGCACGGGUGAGUAACACGUAUCCAACCUGCCGAUAACUCGGGGAUAGCCUUUCGAAAGAAAGAUUAAUACCCGAUGGUAUAAUCAGACCGCAUGGUCUUGUUAUUAAAGAAUUUCGGUUAUCGAUGGGGAUGCGUUCCAUUAGGCAGUUGGUGAGGUAACGGCUCACCAAACCUUCGAUGGAUAGGGGUUCUGAGAGGAAGGUCCCCCACAUUGGAACUGAGACACGGUCCAAACUCCUACGGGAGGCAGCAGUGAGGAAUAUUGGUCAAUGGGCGCAGGCCUGAACCAGCCAAGUAGCGUGAAGGAUGACUGCCCUAUGGGUUGUAAACUUCUUUUAUAUGGGAAUAAAGUUUUCCACGUGUGGAAUUUUGUAUGUACCAUAUGAAUAAGGAUCGGCUAACUCCGUGCCAGCAGCCGCGGUAAUACGGAGGAUCCGAGCGUUAUCCGGAUUUAUUGGGUUUAAAGGGAGCGUAGGUGGACAGUUAAGUCAGUUGUGAAAGUUUGCGGCUCAACCGUAAAAUUGCAGUUGAUACUGGCUGUCUUGAGUACAGUAGAGGUGGGCGGAAUUCGUGGUGUAGCGGUGAAAUGCUUAGAUAUCACGAAGAACUCCGAUUGCGAAGGCAGCUCACUGGACUGCAACUGACACUGAUGCUCGAAAGUGUGGGUAUCAAACAGGAUUAGAUACCCUGGUAGUCCACACAGUAAACGAUGAAUACUCGCUGUUUGCGAUAUACAGUAAGCGGCCAAGCGAAAGCAUUAAGUAUUCCACCUGGGGAGUACGCCGGCAACGGUGAAACUCAAAGGAAUUGACGGGGGCCCGCACAAGCGGAGGAACAUGUGGUUUAAUUCGAUGAUACGCGAGGAACCUUACCCGGGCUUAAAUUGCAUUUGAAUAUAUUGGAAACAGUAUAGCCGUAAGGCAAAUGUGAAGGUGCUGCAUGGUUGUCGUCAGCUCGUGCCGUGAGGUGUCGGCUUAAGUGCCAUAACGAGCGCAACCCUUAUCUUUAGUUACUAACAGGUCAUGCUGAGGACUCUAGAGAGACUGCCGUCGUAAGAUGUGAGGAAGGUGGGGAUGACGUCAAAUCAGCACGGCCCUUACGUCCGGGGCUACACACGUGUUACAAUGGGGGGUACAGAAGGCAGCUACCUGGUGACAGGAUGCUAAUCCCAAAAGCCUCUCUCAGUUCGGAUCGAAGUCUGCAACCCGACUUCGUGAAGCUGGAUUCGCUAGUAAUCGCGCAUCAGCCAUGGCGCGGUGAAUACGUUCCCGGGCCUUGUACACACCGCCC